UACGUAGGGUGCGAGCGUUAAUCGGAAUUACUGGGCGUAAAGCGUGCGCAGGCGGUCUGUUAAGACCGAUGUGAAAUCCCCGGGCUUAACCUGGGAACUGCAGUGGUGACUGGCAGGCUUUGAGUGUGGCAGAGGGAGGUAGAAUUCCACGUGUAGCAGUGAAAUGCGUAGAGAUGUGGAGGAAUACCGAUGGCGAAGGCAGCCUCCUGGGCCAACACUGACGCUCAUGCACGAAAGCGUGGGGAGCAAACAGG
rnacentral:rRNA from 1 species